UACGUAGGUGGCAAGCGUUGUCCGGAUUUACUGGGCGUAAAGAGCGCGCAGGCGGUCGUUCAAGUCGCGUGUGAAAGCCCCCGGCUCAACUGGGGAGGGUCACGCGAUACUGAUCGACUCGAAGGCAGGAGAGGGUAGUGGAAUUCCCGGUGUAGUGGUGAAAUGCGUAGAUAUCGGGAGGAACACCAGUGGCGAAGGCGACUACCUGGCCUGUUCUUGACGCUGAGGCGCGAAAGCUAGGGGAGCAAAC
rnacentral:rRNA from 1 species